rnacentral:rRNA from 1 species
GACGAACGCUGGCGGCGUGCUUAACACAUGCAAGUCGAACGGAAAGGCCCUGCUUUUGUGGGGUGCUCGAGUGGCGAACGGGUGAGUAGCACGUGAGUAACCUGCCCUUGACUUUGGGAUAACUUCAGGAAACUGGGGCUAAUACCGGAUAGGAGCUCCUGCUGCAUGGUGGGGGUUGGAAAGUUUCGGCGGUUGGGGAUGGACUCGCGGCUUAUCAGCUUGUUGGUGGGGUAGUGGCUUACCAAGGCUUUGACGGGUAGCCGGCCUGAGAGGGUGACCGGCCACAUUGGGACUGAGAUACGGCCCAGACUCCUACGGGAGGCAGCAGUGGGGAAUAUUGCACAAUGGGCGGAAGCCUGAUGCAGCAACGCCGCGUGCGGGAUGACGGCCUUCGGGUUGUAAACCGCUUCCGCCUGUGACGAAGCGUGAGUGACGGUAAUGGGUAAAGAAGCACCGGCUAACUACGUG